rnacentral:rRNA from 1 species
CCUACGGGUGGCUGCAGUGAGGAAUAUUGGUCAAUGGUCGGGAGACUGAACCAGCCAAGCCGCGUGAGGGAGGAAGGUACAGAGUAUCGUAAACCUCUUUUGUCAGGGAACAAAGACUGGGACGCGUCCCCGGAUGAGUGUACCUGAAGAAAAAGCAUCGGCUAACUCCGUGCCAGCAGCCGCGGUAAUACGGGGGAUGCGAGCGUUAUCCGGAUUUUGUGGGUUUAAAGGGUGCUCGGGGGGUCUGGUACGUCAGCGGUCAAAGCCCGGGGCUCAACCCCGGCCCGCCGUUGAAACUGGCAGUCUCGAGUUGGAGAGAGGUAUGCGGAAUGCGCGGUGUAGCGGUGAAAUGCAUAGAUAUCGCGCAGAACUCCGAUUGCGAAGGCAGCAUGCCGGCUCCACACUGACGCUGAGGCACGAAAGCGUGGGUAUCGAACAGGAUUAGAUACCCGAGUAGUC